GGCGCAGAGUAGGGGAGCAGUUCCUUUGGCAAUGGCAGUACAAGCCAGGACCUGUCAAAGAAUUAGGCAAGAAGACAGGAAAGGAACGAAUGAGCAUGGCAGGAGGCCUCCUUCUACUCUGUGCUCUUCCGGCCUGGCUUUCCAGGAAAACUGGAUCUAGCAAAGGAGAGGAUGCCUGUAGGCAGGUGUGGGUUAUAAGCAGAUCUCAGGGUGAAUGCCAUUCCCCUGCGGGUGCAUUUUGUCAUGCUGUGAGUGCAGUGCCUUAGCAGGUAGAGGGACAAGGAUGUAUGAGCUGUUUUUUUCCUAAACUGAAACCUCCAGAUUCGGGUUUAAUUCGGGUUUAGUGCUAGCGCUUUGCGAUAAAUAACUGGGUUUGGGGUUGCAGUUUGGGCCCUCGGUCUCUCAAAGGUUCACCGUCCCUGGCCUUGAACCUUGACAAUAUUAAUUCCCUUCUGCUUCCCUUUUGUAGUUCCUCAGAAAGAAAGUACCUCCUACCCAGGCAUGGUGUGCACACCUGUAAUCCCAGCACUCUGCGAGGCUGAAGCAGGAAGACUGAAAGUUCAAGAGCCUCAUGGAGACUGGGAAAGGAAUGUUUCUUCCCCAAGCUUAGCAGGCAGCCUGGCUGGGAGCCAUUUGGCAACAUCCCCAGCAGGAAAGUUGGGGAAGAAGCAACAGUACCACCCCCAAGAUGCUACAGCAACAGACACAGAGACGGUCUGUCGGCUCCUGCCUGGGGGACCCCCAGCCCAGGUGCAUCCCCAAGAUGGGGAGGAGGAGCCCUCCUGCCUCAGUGACUGAGGAGCAAGCUCACAGCCAAAGGCCAUGCUGCUCAAGUUGGAACUGGGAGGUUCACAAAGCCCCCAGGGAAGCACAGUGUGUUUGAAACACCAUUUGUAUUCAAGGAGCUUUGGAGAGGGCUGGGAGUCUAC
rnacentral:lncRNA from 1 species